GGCUUUCAUGUGGAUCAAGGCUGGAGGAUGACAAACUCCUGACUGAUAGAUACACGGAGACUUCGCUGGUGAUUUAUUGGCUUUCUGCACCUGACGAGAACCACUAGGCCUAUCUGAGGAGGGAAAAUAUAUGGGCUUUCCUGACUCCAAGUGGCAGCCCCGGGGUGAGCAUGUGAUGUCAAGCUGGGCAGGGGAAAGCGGAGCUGUGCACCGGCCUGUGUACUGUAAGCCGGCCCGGGUCGUAAAAGUGUCAGCACGCGAUAUAUUUCUUGCGGGGGAUCCUCUCUGGCUCUUGCCAGCGCCUCUCCCCGGUGGCUGGCAACCGCCCUAACCGGGCCUGCAAGCAGCGGAUGCCCCAGGUCGCUAUCCCUCCGCCCUGCUCCGGAGCACAGGGCCCUCACGUUCUCGCUCCAGCCUGGGGUCUCUCAAGUGGCACCUGGCCCUGGGGACGCUGCAGCGCAGGAGUUAAUUGCUGUCCCUCCUGACUUCAGCGAAAGAAGUGGAUCGUGAGAUGACCUCAUAAAGGUGUUCAAUGAUGAAGAGGAGUGGUUGAAAAGAUGGCUGUCUAGAGUCAACGCGAACCUACCCCAAAGUUUGACCUUUGCCUUAAGUCAGUAACCGAGGCGGGCCACGGUCCUGAGUUCAGACCAGGCCCCAAGAAGAUUCAGAGCCUGCAGUUGUCCUCUGGUUUCUAAAGUAUGUUAUUGGGCUAAAGAUUUCAAGACAUGUAUCCUUCUUUGCUUUCUAUCGCAGCCAUUAAAUAUUUCAGAUAUUUUCUGCCAAAAGGCAGGAAUCACGAAGAUUACAAAUAUUAAAGACAAAACAAAAUAACUUUUUAAUGAGAAGGUCAGUCUGUGGUUUGGGUCUUUGGAAAGAAAUCAAGAAAUCUGACUAUACUUUCUAUUUGACCAUUGAUUCUCUAGUGGAAAUGGGCAAAUCUUUUAUACCAGGGCAAAUUUUUCAGUAAAGGGCCAGACAGCAAAUAUUUUAGGAAUUGUGGGCCGUGCAGUCUCUCUCCCAGCUACUUAACUCUUUCAGCAUAGCAUAAAAGCAGUCAUAAACAAUACUAUAACAAGUAUGGCUGCAUUCCAAUAAAACUUUAUUUACAAAAAUAGGCAGCAGGCCAGAUUUGGCCCACAAGCUAUAGCCUUCCAACCCCUGCUUUGUCAAACUCAAUAACAAACAGAGAGGGAGACUCUUCAAAAAAAAAAAAAAAAUGAUAUUCAUCUGGGAGUAGCAUUGCAAUAGGAAUAUGUAUACCGUAGCAAAUUAUGAGUGUUUUCAAAGAGAUUGGGGCAAGGGGAAGUUUAUAAAGACAAAAGGAAGAGGAUUACAGUUGUUCGAAUCAAUUAUCCUUGGCUACAAGGGUGGCACAAGUCCAAACUUGGACAGGCAGUUGCUAGACAAACAUCCUUACAGAAUCUGUAUUUUCUGUCUAAGGUUGCAGUGGCCUUUUUGCAAAGCUAUAGGAAAUCACAGGGGUCAGUACAAACGUACUACAAUAGAUAAGCCUCGCCUUCGGAAAAUCUUCGUGAUCAUGGUAUCUCCCCUGCCAAGUAAGUAUUUUGACAGUUCUUAUCAGGCAUUCAUGUGUGAGGACCCUCCCUUGAUGGCCAUCCCUGGCUCCAUUUGCCAAGGUUUUAACAUAAAUGACUCCAUUUUGAUUCUGACAACUUUCAUAGCUGCUUACCAUCUGUGCUUCUGUGUAUAAAAAUGGACAUACUAAAAUUUUUCCUUAGGGCUACAACUAAACAUCCAGCCUAGCCCUUAGCCAGCACCAAGGAAGAGGCCUGGGAGAUAGAGGAACAAAUAAUGAGACGAAGUCAGGCCACCCCCCAUGGGGUGAGGCCUGCAAUGGGCCCAGUGUGGUGUACCUCUAGCACAGUGCCUGGCACACAAUUGCAGUUCAUUUUCUGAAAAAAUAACCCUUGGAUCAAUUGGUUGCUCUCUGGGAAUGUGACUUUGCUGUUGAGUUGUGCAGAGUACUCUCUGUCUCCAGGCCAAUCCCCAGCUUCAGUAUCUCACCCCACAAUCCACAUUUCCCAGUGUCUGGAGUAACAACAAUGACCUGGGGCUGGGCUCUCAGGAAGUCAAACCCUGCCUCAACAAACCCAAACUGCUUUGGGGACCAAUGUGACACAAAUGUAUACUGAAUCCCCUGAACUCCCGCUGGUGAUCCUGUCCUGUAACAGGCCCUCCCCAUGCCCUCAGGCCAGUGCAUUCAGGAAAUCAGUGACCACAGGAGGGUUUCUCAGCUGGAGGGAAGGUCAGCUUGCAUCUGAGCAUCUUAGAACAUGCUGUUAUGUUGUUCCCACUGGUCAGUCCUGUCCAAGCUGUACACGUAGUGCCUCAGCCAGGUUUGUUACUGCAGGCUUGCCUUCGGAAAGGUCACUGAACAGAAGGAGGAGGCACCUUAUUCUCUUUUGUUACCCCUCCACCACUUUUGUCUAAAGGGAGGUUUAGCUGGAGGGCUGGGCAUGCAGACAGAUUUCUGACUGUGCCACAUAGAUCCCACCUUGCUUCUCUGCCAUGCCUUAUCAUCUGUGACUUGACAUGUUUUGCACACACGGGCAUGUUGUACACAUUGAGACAUGCUUCCUGCCUUCAAAGAUUUUCCCAUAUUGAGGGCAUUUUCCUGAUGCAGAAUUGAAGACUGAAUGGAAGCAUUCAGACUGACCUCAGCAUCUACGGGUCUGGAGGGGGUUUGGGACGUUUUCUUUUCUUCUCUUCCGGGACCCACUCCUGUUGUAAAGAGCAGCAGCAUUUAUAAUGAGGGUCCGGGAAAUGCAGGGGACGGGGGAAAGCCUGCUGUCUCUGCAGUGGGUGACUGUUGUCUCCCUGAUCAACAGUGUAUCAUAUCUCAGCCUAAGCCUGCCUUUCUCCUUCCCCUUCCACACGGGGUGGGGCUGUGGGCUCAGAGUUCACCUGGAAUGCCUCCGGUUGCUGAAGGGCUGGAUGGAGACUCUGAGACAACCUGAUGGAUCAUCUCAUAAACAGAGCCCGCAGGAAGGAGAAGAAAAUUAUGCCAGCAUAAUGCACUUACGAGAAAUAGAUACGUGCGGUGCAGGGAGAAAUGCUUUGAUAUUAAAAUUUUUGUAACUUAAAAAGGCAUGAAAAAUGAUACCGACCACUAACUAAUCAACAUUCCUUUGCGAAUGCAGCUUCAGUUCCUAACCAGAAACACAUCCCUGCUAUUGUCUUGUCUGGAUCCAGAUGCAGACAUGAUUAAUUAAGUUUCUGGUGAGGAGUGGGAGGAGGGCAGUGGGAAUGGAUGGCUUGCUGAGGAUCCUUUUCAUACACAGGCCUGGGGAGAAUCCCUUAGUCUGGGUGCCUAUUUCCCUCCACAUGUCAGGGCUUACCCCGUGCACUGACAGCCACAGGGUGCAGUGGGUAGGCUGCAGCCAGGGCCAUGGAGUGAGGCAGUGAGAAGCUGAAAGGAGAGGUUCUACAGACAGUACAGAGAGGUUCUUGGUACCUCCCGUUGCCACUGCCCAGCACAGCACGGCAGAGUAGCAAACGAAUAUGACAUGUCUUGUUGGGAGACCUGGGCCUGUUCCAGACUGCUACCAAGUAGUUUGGGACCUUGGAUGAGCUGCCUCAAUUUCUCCAUUUGUGAAAUGAGAGGUUGGAUUAAAUGUUCCUCAAAGUC